rnacentral:rRNA from 1 species
CAUGCAAGUCGAACGAAGUAGCAAUACUUAGUGGCAGACGGGUGAGUAACAUGUAGGUAUCUUCCCUUUGGCCUGGAAUAACACGAGGAAACUUGUGCUAAUACUGGAUAAGUCUUUACGGAGAAAGCUUUAUGCACCAUUGGAUGAGCCUGCACUUGAUUAGUUUGUUGGUGGGGUAAUGGCCUACCAAGACUUUGAUCAAUAGCUGAUUUGAGAGGAUGAUCAGCCACAUUGGGACUGAGACACGGCCCAAACUCCUACGGGAGGCAGCAGUGGGGAAUCUUGCACAAUGGAGGAAACUCUGAUGCAGCGAUGCCGCGUGAGUGAAGAAGGCCUUUGGGUUGUAAAGCUCUUUCGUCGGGGAAGAAAAUGACUGUACCCGAAUAAGAAGGUCCGGCUAA